UACGUAGGGGGCAAGCGUUGUCCGGAAUCAUUGGGCGUAAAGAGCGUGUAGGCGGUUCAGUAAGUCUGCUGUGAAAGUCCAGGGCUCAACCCUGGGAUGCCGGUGGAUACUGCUGGGCUAGAGUACGGAAGAGGCGAGUGGAAUUCCCGGUGUAGCGGUGAAAUGCGCAGAUAUCGGGAGGAACACCAAUUGCGAAGGCAGCUCGCUGGGACGGUACUGACGCUGAGACGCGAAAGCGUGGGGAGCGAACAGG
rnacentral:rRNA from 1 species